GCGAGAUGUUGCCUGUUGGCAUAAACCCGUAGAUCCGAUCUUGUGGUGAAGUGGACCGCACAAGCUCGCUUCUAUGGGUCUGUGUCAGUGUGGUAAUCUGAC
ensembl:miRNA